rnacentral:rRNA from 1 species
GAUGAACGCUGGCGGCGUGCCUAAUACAUGCAAGUCGAGCGGACCAAAGAGAGCUUGCUCUCUGAGGUUAGCGGCGGACGGGUGAGUAACACGUGGGUAACCUGCCUGUAAGACGGGAAUAACUUCGGGAAACCGAAGCUAAUACCGGAUGAUAAAGAGAAACGCCUGUUUCUUUUUUGAAAGUCGGCAUUGUGCUGACGCUUACAGAUGGGCCCGCGGCGCAUUAGCUAGUUGGUGAGGUAACGGCUCACCAAGGCGACGAUGCGUAGCCGACCUGAGAGGGUGAUCGGCCACACUGGGACUGAGACACGGCCCAGACUCCUACGGGAGGCAGCAGUAGGGAAUCUUCGGCAAUGGACGAAAGUCUGACCGAGCAACGCCGCGUGAGCGAUGAAGGCCUUCGGGUCGUAAAGCUCUGUUGUCAGAGAAGAACAAGUACCGGAGUAACUGCCGGUACCUUGACGGUACCUGACCAGAAAGCCACGGCUAACUACGUGCCAGCCGCCGCCGUAACAC